UACGUAGGGUGCGAGCGUUGUCCGGAAUUAUUGGGCGUAAAGAGCUUGUAGGCGGUUUGUCGCGUCUGCUGUGAAAAUCCGGGGCUCAACCCCGACUUGCAGUGGGUACGGGCAGACUAGAGUGUGGUAGGGGAGACUGGAAUUCCUGUGUAGCGGUGAAAUGCGCAGAUAUCAGGAGGAACACCGAUGGCGAAGGCAGGUCUCUGGGCCACUACUGACGCUGAGAGCGAAAGCAUGGGGAGCGAACAGG
rnacentral:rRNA from 1 species